GAUGAAGAACGCAGCGAAAUGCGAUAAGUAGUGUGAAUUGCAGAAUUCAGUGAAUCAUCGAAUCUUUGAACGCACAUUGCGCCCCUUGGUAUUCCAUGGGGCAUGCCUGUUCGAGCGUCACUUGUACCUUCAAGCUCUGCUUGGUGUUGGGUGUUUGUCUCGCCUCUGCGUGUAGACUCGCCUCAAAACAAUUGGCAGCCGGCGUAUUGAUUUCGGAGCGCAGUACAUCUCGCGCUUUGCACUCAUAACGACGACGUCCAAAAGUACAUUUUUACACUCUUGACCUCGGAUCAGGUAGGGAUACCCGCUGAACUUAAGCAUAUCAAUAAGCGGAGGA
rnacentral:misc_RNA from 1 species